CCUCCAAAAGCUAUAGGAGGUGAAACCCAGGCUACAAACUUUCAUUUUUUCCCCCCAAGGGUCCAUUUCAAAACCCAGAUCCAAAUGCCCCCCCAGGAUAGAACACCAUCUGGGAAAAAGAGACAUAAAACUAUGCAUAUUGCAGACUGACUUGGUCCCGUGAUGUCGAAACCCACUGUGCACCUAGUAUCAUAUAUUUAAGUACCACGAUGUAAGUAAUAGCUUAGAAGUACUUAUUGGGCAGAGUUUUGAGGAGAUAUUCUGGGAGGAAAGAAGAGCUGACUUGUUUCUUUGAUUUCUUGGCUGACUCAAUUCAUUAAGGGAUUAGGGUUCAUUGAUGGUGGGUGGUCACUUGUGGAUGGCAUAGCUAAUUCCUUCUCCAAGGUCCUCAGAGCUUAUUGGGUGGGCAUUUUUAAUUGAAAAUUAAAGCUAAAUACAUACAAAUAUUGAGCCAAUAAAAUAGUCCUACCCCGUACCUCCCACUCCAUGCAAACAUCAAAAUACUUUAGAAACAGUCAAUAACCCUCCAAAUGUCCUUUCAGGGACAUCCAUCAUGCAGGUAGCAACACAGAUGUUCGGUGGCUUGGCCUGAACCGCUCCAGAGGUGGACAUAUAGCUCAUGUCAGACUCCCCUUCUAGUAGCUUGUUAGGAAAAGAAAGCUGGGACUCUACCAGUGUGCUUGCAUAUAUUCUCACUCACGUAUAUCCCCAUUACAAGAACACUAAUAUAUAUUUAAAAACCCAAACUGUUUAUUUAAAAACUGGUUGGCUCCUACUUUUACAGCAACACGUGCACAAAUAUCUUGUUUGGAUAUUUUUACAGCCAUUAAUUUUUCCUUCUAUAACCCAGACCUCCCAUUAGGUGUUGCAAACUGGAUCCAGUCUCCCGUUGCCAAGUAUAUUGCAAUUAAAUUGAAGUCACCUUUGGUCUUAAUGAACCCUUGUUGUUGGGCUAAUGUGAUGAUUAAUUCCAGCUGUGCACAUUGGGUAUUUAUGUAGGUGGAUGGGUGGAGAUGCUUGUUUCCCUCAGAGGCUGUAGGAGGUAAUAGGAAGAGUCAACACUUGAGAUUUAUUAGCAAUGCUUUGCAUGAAGUCCAAGCUGAGAUUGGAGCCACACUGUGCUAGGUGCUGUACAGACAUCCUGGCUGGAGUGAUCCUGUAUUUAAAAACGUUACCAGAUAACCAAUCUUCCUACUCCUUCAGCUACUUCGGCCAUCUGAUCUCAUCCAGCAGUGUGCUCCACACCUUGCUAGUUCGCAGAAGCCUUCUGCUUAGCUGCAGGCUGCCAGAGGUUCAAAGACAGGAAAGGCCCUAAAACUCAGGGAAAUAUAGACACACUAGCUCCAGAAAUUAAAAUGCAAUCCAAACUUGGACUGUGCUAGCAAAGACCUGAGAUUUUGCCUUGCUUACAAGUAAAGUUUGACCUUUCCUCUCCAUGGGGAGAGAGAGAGAGGCUCUGAGGCCUUGAUCAUCGUGGCGUUGUCCACAUGAGCUGCAUGGUGCAACUGCAUAGGGUCCCACUGACUUCUCGGAGGAUCUGUCCAGAUUACAGAAACCAGACCGAGGAUGAGAUGGAUCCGAUUCUUCUAUCGCAAAACCCAGGAUAAAUUAGAGCAGCUUCCCUGAAGCUCAGUAGAGUUAUUUUGGUUGCAGCAAAAUCAGCCCCUAUGAUUUUAGACGGAUUAGUGAAAAAGGACCAGUUAAUUAGCUUGCAAGAUCAAGGCAGAACCGUCUCCUAUUGCAUAACUGUUAAGAGAGCUUUAAUAGUACACCUACAUAAAACAUACUGCAUGUAAGCACAGCCAACCCCGUUAGUUAUGCCUGAGCUGAAUUUGACUCCCCCUCCUCAAAAUAGACCUUAAGAGAGAACUGAAACCAUGUUCACGUUGCAUUUUGCGCUGCAAAGAAAAGUGAAAGUUCAAAUGGGUUUUGAAGCCGACCGAGAAUAAACUUUGCCCCGUGGAAAGUAUUUGCAUGUCAAUGUUUCUGCUUGCAAACUUAAUUACAAAUGAACCUCUCAUCUUGCUGAAAAGAGACACCAGCCUAAUGGCAGAAAGGCAGUAAUUUUAUUUUUUUUUUUUUAAUUAAAGUUUCCAGUCUUGUGAUUAACUCUUCCUACAGAGGGUGCAGCCAUCCCCUCCUGCAGAAUAUCCUGAGGAAAAGGGAAAGUUACGGCACUCUUUCUGCUAGGUCAACUUUGCUGCUGUCUUCAGCUGUGUGCUUCUGGGAGGAAGAGGGGCUUGCUGAUCCAGGGAGAGCUCAGCUGUAUUUAAAAUGUCGAUGGGGAGCCCCUAGCAAGCCCACAGGAACAGUUCUCAGUCCCAUUGGGAUCAAUAAGAGUUUUGCCUCUGACACCCCCAGGACCAGGUCCACCAAGAAGUGUUUGCAGAGCCAUGGAGUCAGUUCACAGAUCUCUUGGGAGAGAGGAGAGUGGGGGAAACCAAUAAUAGGCUGAAGAGAAUCCCCUUCCCCCUGUUAACUGGAGGCAAUGUCUAAACCAGUGGCUCUCCACCUUUUUGGAUUCAAGGCACCCCUCACUGGAUAUGAUGCCCCCCUCCACAGCUUUUGCACCCAGUUAAAAAAACUAAUGUAUAUUUUACAGUGCUUUCCUACGUCUACAGGGGCUGGGCAGUAGGGGUGGGAGAUCACCCAGGCAGGCUGAGUGAUCCUGGUCUGGCUUAUCUGCAUAUCUCUUCAUAUCUCACUUAUCUCCUCGCACCUUGUGGCACCGUUCAAAGGGUCUGGGGCACCCCAGGGUACCCCAGCACCCUGGCUGAGAAUCACUGAUCCAAACAAAAAGGAACCCCAUCCUAUCCAAGGUUGCCCGACCGACCACCAGCUCAUUAUGAUUUUUUAUUUGUGUUUCAUAGUAGAUCGGGUCAGAAGGGACCUGAGCAGAUCACCAAGUCCAACCCCCUGCCGUGGCAGGAAAGAGCACUGGGUCAAAUGACCCCAGCGAGGGUUUCAUCCAGACUCCUUUUAAAGACCCCCAGGGUAGGAGCCAGCACCACUUCUCUUGGAAGUUGGUUCCAGAUCCUAGCUGCCCUGACAGUGAUGUAGCGCCUCCUGAUGUCUAGUCUGAAUCUACCCUCUGCCAGCUUGUGACCGUUGUUUCUAGUCACUCCUGGGAGUGCUCGGGGGAACAGGGACUCCCCCAGUGCCUGCUGGUCGCCCCUGACUAGUUUGUAACAGGCCACUAGAUCCCCUUCAGCCUCCUCUGGUGGAGGCUGAACAGGUUCAGGUCCCGUAGCCUCUCCUUGCAGGGCUUGCCCUGCUGCCACUGGAUCAUGCGAGUGGCCUCUUCUGGAUCCUCUCCAUGCUGUCCACAUCCCUCCUGAAGUGCGGCGCCCAGAACUGGACGCAGUACUCCAGCUGUGGCCUGACCAGUGUCGCAUAGAGGGGGAGGAUCACCACCUUGGACCUGCUCGAGACGCAUCUGUGGAUACAUGACAAGG